GAUGAAGAACGUAGCGAAAUGCGAUACGUAAUGUGAAUUGCAGAAUUCAGUGAAUCAUCGAAUCUUUGAACGCAUAUUGCGCUCUUUGGUAUUCCGAAGAGCAUGCUUGUUUGAGUAUCAGUAAACACCUCAAAGCUUUUGGAUUUUUUAAUCGAAAAGCUUUGGACUUGAGCAAUCCCAACACCAAUCUUUUUGAGAUCGGUGGCGGGUUGCUUGAAAUGCAGGUGCAGCUGGACAUUCUCCUGAGCUAAAAGCAUAUUCAUUUAGUCCCGUCAAACGGAUUAUUACUUUUGCUGCAGCUAACAUAAAGGGAGUUUGACCGUAUUGGCUGACUGAUGCAGGAUUUCACAAGGGUCGGCAACGAUUCUUGUUAAACUCGAUCUCAAAUCAAGUAAGAAUAACCGCUGAACUUAAGCAUAUCAAUAAGCGGAGGA
rnacentral:misc_RNA from 1 species